rnacentral:lncRNA from 1 species
GAUAAAGUCGUGCUGUAACCGGGCAGCGAGAUUGACUAGCGAAACCGAGAGCGAUACGCGACGCGAUCAAAAGAAUACACUUGUUAAUAAAUAUAUUGUUGACCUAAACUCCGAAUAAUUAUUUAAUCACCCGAUAUCACUUCAAAUACAAUUCGAUGAGUAGAAACGCAAUUAUUAACAAUAUCCUAAACAGAUGUUUAUACUAUACACUACUUUGUACCGUACAGUGAAAUAUCAGCAGAAAUAUGUUUUUACAUUUGGUAAUUUCAAUGGAAAAUCAGUUACCGUGUUCGACGAACUUGGACAUCUCAUAAAAGACAGUACGGUUUGUGAUACAAUGAACUAAAAAAUUCUCUGUUGCUUUUCGGACUCCCAAGGGAAACCAAAUACCUACAUAAUGGAUUAGGGUUACAUAUCAUGUUAGGGGGCAUCGAGUGCAUCCACCAGCCACGACGCAAUCGACAAAUGCGCAUCGAAUUUGAUGACAUGGGAAUAUGGUCGACAUCGACCAGACUCUCGCCCUUUCUUCUGCGUAACGGCAAAAACAGAGCAAUUGGAAAAUGAACGUGCUGAAAGCAAAACACGAGUGACACCAUACGCAAGAAAGCCACGUAACAAACGCAAUGAAGCAAUUCCCUAUGAAACCAUAUGCUUAUCACAAACAGUAACAAGUUGUUCCCGUUGAAGAGGAGGACCCUAACACAAGCGAUAACACCACGGGCUAGCUCUUUUGCAACAGUGGAAAUCCAGCGAGGCAAAUCUAGUUUCCUGUUACUGUAAAAGGAUAUUGGUUGCGUGUAUAGAUAUACACGCAUACACAUAUCACAGCUUUAUACAAUAAUGGAACGCGUUCGUUGGGUAGCAUGUGCAUACGGCGAAUAGUGCUAGCCUUCGAAUCUUGUGUUAAACUACAAUAAUUUUCUCAACAGGUUAUUCGGUAUUGCUCCCUUCCCCAAAUCGCGUUACGCUUAAUACUACCCACACAGUCUCCCCCACUGGUCAUUCUUCGUUCAUCCCUUAAUGCCAUUACGUGGAUUAAAAACGACGAAACGUAUUAGUUGCGAAACGGCGAUGGGAACAGCUGAUGGGAAUUAUUUCGCGUGCACGCAUGCAGCAUUAAGAGGAAUCGUAGUAUGGAAACUGACGAUGAACGUUCCUAAACGAGAAAAUUUAAAUUUUGAGUAAUUCCUUUCGAAUUUACAGCCGGUCGAUUACUUCAACGAAAGAAAUAUUUGGCGUGUAGACGGCUAGCACGGUUUACAUUUUAUUUAUGUACAUCCGUGACCUUGAGACUGCUAUUACGCAGACAUAUUCUAAGGAGCGGCGCAUAUUAUUGAGUAUACAUUAUGUUUUGGGUUGCAAGGUCAGGGAACAAAGGAACUAAUAAACAGAUUUCUAUUUAUGCUCCCUGUAGCCUCCAGCCAAAACUAUAAGGUUAACUUUUUUGGUAAUGUCCUUUUGCUAUAAAUAUAUGAACGUGCUUCCUAGUAUUCAAGUGUGUAGUAACAUUAAGAGAGUAAGGAUAUCAAUCAGCAU